GACGAACGCUGGCGGCGGGCUUAACACAUGCAAGUCGAACGGAAAGGCCCUGCUUUUGUGGGGUGUUCGAGUGGCGAACGGGUGAGUAACACGUGAGUAACCUGCCCUUGACUUUGGGAUAACUUCAGGAAACUGGGGCUAAUACCGGAUAGGAGCUCCUGCUGCAUGGUGGGGGUUGGAAAGUUUCGGCGGGUGGGGAUGGACUCGCGGCUUAUCAGCUUGUUGGUGGGGUAGUGGCUUACCAAGGCUUUGACGGGUAGCCGGCCUGAGAGGGUGACCGGCCACAUUGCGACUGAGAUACGGAGCAGACUCCUACGGGAGGCAGCAGUGGGGAAUAUUGCACAAUGGGCGGACGCCUGAUGAAGCAACGCCGCGUGCGGGAUGACGGCUUUCGGGGUGUAAACCGCUUUCGCCUGUGACGAAGCGUGAGUGACGGUAAUGGGUAAAGAAGCACCGGCUAACUACGUG
rnacentral:rRNA from 1 species